AGGGUGCAGGGCGGAUGCCUUGGCACUAGGAGCCGAUGAAGGACGUGAUAAGCUGCGAUAAGCUUCGGGGAGUUGCACGUAAACUUUGAUCCGAAGAUUUCCGAAUGAGGAAACUCACUUAGAGUAAUGUCUAAGUAUCAUUAAGUGAAUACAUAGCUUAAUGAGGGGAACUCAGGGAACUGAAACAUCUAAGUACCUGAAGGAAGAGAAAGAAAUUCGAUUCCGUAAGUAGCGGCGAGCGAACGCGGAUUAGCCCAAACCAAUAAAGUUUUCUUUAUUGGGGUUGCGGACAUAUCAUAACGAAGAGGUAUCGUAAUUGAAGAGGUUUGGAAAGACCCACCACAGAAGGUAAUAGUCCUGUAUGUUAAACGAGAAGACUUCAGAUAUGAUCCAGAGUACCACGGGACACGUGAAACCCUGUGGGAAGCAGGAGGGACCACCCUCCAAGGCUAAAUACUACCUAGUGACCGAUAGCGUAUAGUACCGUGAGGGAAAGGUGAAAAGAACCCCGGGAGGGGAGUGAAAUAGAACCUGAAACCCUGCACUUACAAGCUGUGGAAGCACAUUUCUUGUGUGACCGCGUACUUUUUGUAGAACGGGCCAACGAGUUACGUUAAGUAGCAAGGUUAAGCACUUAAGGUGCGGAGCCGUAGCGAAAGCGAGUUUUAACUGAGCGUUCAGUUACUUGACGUAGACCCGAAACCGGGCGACCUACCCAUGAGCAGGAUGAAGCGAAAGUAAAAUUUCGUGGAGGUCCGAACCCACGAGCGUUGAAAAGCUCGGGGAUGACUUGUGGGUAGCGGUGAAAUUCCAAUCGAGCCCGGAGAUAGCUGGUUCUCCCCGAAAUAGCUUUAGGGCUAGCCUCAAGGUGAGAGAUACGGAGGUAGAGCACUGAAUGUCCUAGGGGGUAUUGCACCUACCGAAGACUAUCAAACUCCGAAUGCCGUCAUCUUAUACUUGGGAGUCAGACUGUGGGUGAUAAGAUUCAUAGUCGAAAGGGCAACAGCCCAGAUCGUCAGCUAAGGUCCCUAAAUGUAAGUUAAGUGGUAAAGGAUGUGGGAUUGCACAGACAACCAGGAUGUUGGCUUAGAAGCAGCCACUCAUUCAAAGAGUGCGUAAUAGCUCACUGGUCGAGUGAUCCUGCGCCGAAGAUUUCCGGGGCUAAAACUUACUACCGAAGCUACGGCAUCAGUAAUGAUGGGUAGGGGAGCUUCCCAUACGGGUUGAAGCAUGACCGUAAGGACAUGUGGACAGUAUGGGAGUGAGAAUGUUGGCAUGAGUAGCGAGAUGUGGGUGAGAAUCCCACAGGCCGUAAACCCAAGGUUUCCAGGGGAAGGUUCGUCCGCCCUGGGUUAGUCGGGACCUAAGCUGAGGCCGAAAGGCGUAGGUGAUGGACAACAGGUUGAUAUUCCUGUACUACCGAUAACCGUUUGAGAGAAGGGAUGACACAGUAGGAUAAGCUAAGCACACUGUUGGUUAUGUGUGCCCAAGCAUUGAGGCAGUCAAAGUAGGCAAAUCCGCUUUGAUAAUGCUGGGAUGUGAUGGGGAGCGAAAUUUAGUAGCGAAGUAGCUGAUUUCACACUGUCAAGAAAAGUCUCUAUCGAGGUUAAAGGUACCCGUACCGCAAACCGACACAGGUGGGUGAGGAGAGUAUCCUAAGGCCAGCGAGAGAACUGUUGUUAAGGAACUCGGCAAAAUGACCCCGUAACUUAGGGAUAAGGGGUGCCACCAUCAGGUGGCCGCAGAGAAUAGGCCCAAGCGACUGUUUACCAAAAACAUAGGUUUCUGCUAAGUCGCAAGACGAUGUAUAGGAGCUGACGCCUGCCCGGUGCUGGAAGGUUAAGGGGAUCUGUUAGAGCAAUCGAAGCAGUGAACUUAAGCCCCAGUAAACGGCGGCCGUAACUAUAACGGUCCUAAGGUAGCGAAAUUCCUUGUCGGGUAAGUUCCGACCCGCACGAAAGGCGUAACGAUUUGGGCACUGUCUCAACAACAGACUCGGUGAAAUUGUAAUUCCGGUGAAGAUGCCGGAUACCUGCGACAGGACGGAAAGACCCCAUGGAGCUUUACUGUAGCUUGACAUUGGGUCUUGGUACUACAUGUACAGGAUAGGUGGGAGGCUUUGAAACCAGGACGCCAGUUUUGGCGGAGCCAUCCUUGGGAUACCACCCUUGUAGUACUGGGACUCUAACCAUAGGCCAUGAAUCUGGUCUUGGGACACUGUCAGGCGGGCAGUUUGACUGGGGCGGUCGCCUCCCAAAAGGUAACGGAGGCGCUCAAAGGUUCUCUCAGUACGGUCGGAAAUCGUACGUAGAGUGUAAAGGCAAAAGAGAGCUUGAUUGCAAGACAUACAGGUCGAGCAAGGAUGAAAAUCGGACUUAGUGAUCCGGUGGUUCUGCGUGGAAGGGCCAUCGCUCAACGGAUAAAAGCUACCCUGGGGAUAACAGGCUUAUCUCCCCCAAGAGUCCACAUCGACGGGGAGGUUUGGCACCUCGAUGUCGGCUCAUCACAUCCUGGGGCUGUAGUAGGUCCCAAGGGUUGGGCUGUUCGCCCAUUAAAGUGGUACGCGAGCUGGGUUCAGAACGUCGUGAGACAGUUCGGUCCCUAUCCGUCGCAGGCGUAGGAAAUUUGAGAAGACCUGUCCUUAGUACGAGAGGACCGGGAUGGACGUACCUCUGGUGUACCAGUUGUUCUGCCAAGGGCAUGGCUGGGUAGCUAUGUACGGAAUGGAUAAGCGCUGAAAGCAU
rnacentral:rRNA from 1 species